AGAGUUUGAUCAUGGCUCAGAUUGAACGCUGGCGGCAUGCCUUACACAUGCAAGUCGAACGGUAACAGGUCUUCGGAUGCUGACGAGUGGCGAACGGGUGAGUAAUACAUCGGAACGUGCCCAGUAAUGGGGGAUAGCUCGGCGAAAGCCGGAUUAAUACCGCAUACGCCCUGAGGGGGAAAGUGGGGGACCGCAAGGCCUCACGUUAUUGGAGCGGCCGAUGGCUGAUUAGCUAGUUGGUAGGGUAAAGGCCUACCAAGGCGACGAUCAGUAGCUGGUCUGAGAGGACGAUCAGCCACACUGGGACUGAGACACGGCCCAGACUCCUACGGGAGGCAGCAGUGGGGAAUUUUGGACAAUGGGGGAAACCCUGAUCCAGCAAUGCUGCGUGUGCGAAGAAGGCCUUCGGGUUGUAAAGCACUUUUGUCAGGGAAGAAAUCCUUUGGGCUAAUACCCUAGGGGGAUGACGGUACCUGAAGAAUAAGCACCGGCUAACUACGUGCCAGCAGCCGCGGUAAUACGUAGGGUGCAAGCGUUAAUCGGAAUUACUGGGCGUAAAGCGUGCGCAGGCGGUUGUGUAAGACGGGUGUGAAAUCCCCGGGCUUAACCUGGGAAUUGCAUUUGUGACUGCACGACUAGAGUGUGUCAGAGGGGGGUGGAAUUCCACGUGUAGCAGUGAAAUGCGUAGAUAUGUGGAGGAACACCAAUGGCGAAGGCAGCCCCCUGGGAUAACACUGACGCUCAUGCACGAAAGCGAGGGGAGCAAACAGGAUUAGAUACCCCGGUAGUCC
rnacentral:rRNA from 1 species